rnacentral:rRNA from 1 species
UACGUAGGGUGCAAGCGUUGUCCGGAAUUAUUGGGCGUAAAGAGCGUGUAGGCGGCCCGAUUAGUCCGCUGUGAAAGUCCAGGGCUCAACCCUGGAAUGCCGGGUGGAUACUGUCGGGCUAGAGUCCGGAAGGGGCGAGUGGAAUUCCUGGUGUAGCGGUGAAAUGCGCAGAUAUCAGGAGGAACACCAAUGGGCGAAGGCAGCUCGCUGGGACGUGACUGACGCUGAGACGCGGAAAGCGUGGGGGAGCAAACAGG